rnacentral:sRNA from 1 species
GAGGAAGCAAUGGAGACAAAAGAUUGCUAUUAACCUACAGAGACUACUGCAGGGUUCACUGUAAGAUUUAUCACACUUUUGGGCCAAGGAUGUGUUAGUGAGACGAGAAGGGACCACCUCUUUUCUGGGCCAAGAGGGCAAUUUGGUCUCCAUGCUCAUUUAAUCCUGGGACUUCU